AGACUUGUUCGUAACGCAGUUCCAAAUAGAUUUAUUGAAAUUGAGUGUACCGGGGGGGAAAGCUCUAUGGAAAAUGUAGCACCAGUUAUUCCUGAUACUUGGGUGGAAAAUGUUCCAUUAACUACCAGUGAUAUGACUGAUAAAUGCCAGCCAGGCACAUCGAAUCAACCUCCAGUAACUCCUACUAGAAAGUUGUUUCGAAGUGUUGAAGGGUUGAGCAAUAUAGAAAAUUCCCCAAGGAAAUUAAAAUUAAUUCGCAUAAUCAACAGAAAAGAAAAUCAGUUGAGAAAAGUGAAACGUUUGUGUAAGAAGAGAGGCAAUGACAUUAAAGCUUUGGCAAAUUUAUCGGA